CCAUGCGUCCAUGCCAGUGCCGCCUCUUCCAGAGCUGUGUCUGGUGAGGAAUGACCUGGCGCUGGAUCUGGGGGAGGCAGCUGGAGGCCGGGAGGUGCCAGAGGGCUGAGGAGGGCCAGGUGGGCAGGUGGGCACAGUGUGGGGUCUCACAGUCCUCCCUUAUCCCCGGUGGACGUCAUCCCAGCUUAGGGUCUCACACCCCAGAGACCAGGGACAAGCUGCCACCCCGAUGAUGGAAUCAGCAUGAUAGUCCCACCUCUUGCUGGGAAGACUGAUGAGAGAUUCCCAUUUGCAACUCCCCAGCAAUACGGUUUUCAACUCCAGAAUGAAACCGCCAAGAUCCACCGACUGCUGCAGCCUCUGUGAGAAAGACAUCCUUGAAUGAAGAGUGCUAGAGAUGGGCAACAGCUCCCACAUGAUCCUGCGAUGAUAACCAGUACAAUGGAUGGAUGAGUUGAACGGGAACACCAACUUUCCAAUGUGAGUGAAAACGGGGCCCGGAGCCACGAGUUGGGAGGAGAGAUGGCAGCCAGGGUGGCACUCUGACUGGAGGAGCGCCAGCUGCUCUCAACCAGAAAACCCUCUCUGGAGGCCGGAUGGACAGAUCAUCAGAUUAUGGCAGUAAAUCCCCACAUGUAAAGAGGACAGAAGACUCUGAUGGCGUGUUCCAGCUUUGCCCAGCUGACCUACAGAUUUAAUAUGGAUCAGUGAGAGCUCACUGAAAGCGGAGCGUGGAGGAACACGACCACACUGCGGAGGAGGAAUGGUCGACACUUACCCCUGUUAGCACUUAAAGAGAAAAUCAUCUUGUUACAGUUGUUAGGAUUCUGACCUUUGGCUCUGUAAUUUAACAAGUGUUUAACAGAGAAAUGGAAAAGCAAAGAAAAUUCAGUGUCAGGAAACAUUAUUUUGAUAAUCCUGCAUCUCUAUUUGUUCAUUUAUCCCUGAUGGCGAGUUUAUUGAGACCAUCAAACAUUCAAGGUGUCAGACAAUGUUUUUAAGAAAUUUCUUGGAAUAUUAAAUUUACAAUCAAUGAUUAGAAAUACAAAUGAAUGUCACUUUUAACACUGUAUCUCUUAAAAGCAUCAAAUUUUAAUAAAAACUC